GCAAUGGGUUACAAAGAGUCUCUACUAAUGAAAUGCAUGGACGUGCAGAGAGUCACGGUGCUACUUCAAGCUAAAAGAGGAGGUCGAUAAAGGACGUGACCUGACUUGAGCAGAGUCUGUUGGAAGCCUUCUGCUGCAAAUACUCACCUGAUGCUGAAUCUAGGCUGCAGGCUGAUGCUGUCUAUGUACAUUAAGUCCUUUCACCUCAGCUCUGCAAAUCUGUACCAACACUCUCCUGUUCCAGCUGCUCACACACCUCAACCCAUGCCACAUGAAAGCAGGCAGCGAGGGCAGCUGCUGUCACAAGCCCCCACCCCCUAUCUCCACCUUUUUUGCAGCUUGGGGACCUUCUGUGACCGACUCCAGACACAACAACUCCUCACCCCCCACGGCCAGAGCUGAGCCAACGUUUUUCCAGGGGCCAGGUGGAGUUUCUGGCUACUCAGCAGUAUUCUUGUGAUGCAGUUUUCUCCAACUCUUCCUCCUCGGGUUUCAGGAAAGUGUGCAUUUUUGGCUCUUGAUCAAAUCAAUCACAACAAAGUGGCAACUUCUGAUGUUAUAAAACAAAGAGAGUGGGGGGAAAACUGCAGCUCCU